GUGAUGACUCUUAGCCCUUGAACUCCGAAGGCCUGACGAAACAUCCCGAUUGGCCUGAUG
rnacentral:snoRNA from 1 species